rnacentral:rRNA from 1 species
GUAACGGCGAGUGAAGCGGCAACAGCUCAGAUUUGAAAUCUGGCCCCUUCGGGGUCCGAGUUGUAAUCUGUAGAGGAUGCUUUUGGCGACGCGCCUUCCGAGUCCCCUGGAACGGGGCGCCAGAGAGGGUGAGAGCCCCGUAUGGUUGGACGCCGAACCUCUGUAAAGCUCCUUCGACGAGUCGAGUAGUUUGGGAAUGCUGCUCAAAAUGGGAGGUAAAUUUCUUCUAAAGCUAAAUACCGGCCAGAGACCGAUAGCGCACAAGUAGAGUGAUCGAAAGAUGAAAAGCACUUUGAAAAGAGGGUCAAAUAGCACGUGAAAUUGCUGAAAGGGAAGCGCUUGUGACCAGACUUGCGCCCGGUUGAUCAUCCAGCGUUCUCGCUGGUGCACUCUGCCGGGCUCAGGCCAGCAUCGGCUCUCCCAGGGGGAUAAAGGUCGCGGGAACGUAGCUCUCUCCGGGGAGUGUUAUAGCCCGUGGCGGAAUGCCCUUAGGGGGGGCCGAGGCCCGCGUUCGCAAGGAUGCUGGCGUAAUGGUCACCAGCGACCCGUCUUGAAACACGGACCAAGGAGUCAAGCAUUAGGGCGAGUCUUUGGGUGUAAAACCCGCAGGCGCAAUGAAAGUGAACGGAGGUGAGAGCUUCGGCGCAUCAUCGACCGAUCCUGAUGUUCUCGGAUGGAUUUGAGUAAGAGCCUUACCGCUUGGACCCGAAAGAUGGUGAACUAUGCCUGAAUAGGGUGAAGCCAGAGGAAACUCUGGUGGAGGCUCGCAGCGGUUCUGACGUGCAAAUCGAUCGUCAAAUUUGGGCAUGGGGGCGAAAGACUAAUCGAACCAUCUAGUAGCUGUAC